GACGAACGCUGGCGGCGUGCCUAAUACAUGCAAGUCGAGCGAAUCUUUAGGAGCUUGCUCCUGAAGGUUAGCGGCGGACGGGUGAGUAACACGUGGGCAACCUGCCUGUAAGACUGGGAUAACACCGGGAAACCGGUGCUAAUACCGGAUAAUUCUUUUCCUCACAUGAGGGGAAGCUGAAAGUCGGUUUCGGCUGACACUUACAGAUGGGCCCGCGGCGCAUUAGCUAGUUGGUGAGGUAACGGCUCACCAAGGCGACGAUGCGUAGCCGACCUGAGAGGGUGAUCGGCCACACUGGGACUGAGACACGGCCCAGACUCCUACGGGAGGCAGCAGUAGGGAAUCUUCCGCAAUGGACGAAAGUCUGACGGAGCAACGCCGCGUGAGUGAUGAAGGCCUUCGGGUCGUAAAACUCUGUUGUUAGGGAAGAACAAGUACCGGAGUAACUGCCGGCACCUUGACGGUACCUAACCAGAAAGCCACGGCUAACUACGUGCCAGCAGCCGCCGUAAGAC
rnacentral:rRNA from 1 species